rnacentral:misc_RNA from 1 species
CUUUACUUCACCUGCCGUAAGUUUUGCAGCAAAUCCUGUGGCGACAUGGCGGUAGGAAUGUAUCAAACGCGGCUGGUUUGAGCUAAAUGCAUUCUCUGGUAAAAAUGAUUGAUACCAGCUAUAUAAAUCUUUGGACUUUGAGAAAUCAUUGCCCUCAGGUUUCUGUAAGAGGACAAUAUAAGUCUCUAUGUUGCUUUCCUCUUUCUCAAUUGCAUCACUAUUUGAUGAAUGGAUUGCUGACUUGGUGGUUGCUUGGGAAGAGCUAAAGAUUGAAGGAAG